rnacentral:tRNA from 1 species
GCCCAUGUAGCUCAGUGGUAGAGCACACCAUUGGUAAUGGUGAGGUCGAGUGUUCAAUCCACUCCGUGGGCACCA